rnacentral:rRNA from 1 species
GAUGAACGCUGGCGGCGUGCCUAAUACAUGCAAGUCGAGCGAACGGACGAGAAGCUUGCUUCUCUGAUGUUAGCGGCGGACGGGUGAGUAACACGUGGAUAACCUACCUAUAAGACUGGGAUAACUUCGGGAAACCGGAGCUAAUACCGGAUAAUAUUUUGAACCGCAUGGUUCAAAAGUAAAAGACGGUCUUGCUGUCACUUAUCGAUGGAUCCGCGCUGCAUUAGCUAGUUGGUAAGGUAACGGCUUACCAAGGCAACGAUGCAUAGCCGACCUGAGAGGGUGAACGGCCACACUGGAACUGAGACACGGUCCAGACUCCGACGGGAGGCAGCAGUAGGGAAUCGUCCGCAAUGGGCGAAAGCCUGACGGAGCAACGCCGCGUGAGUGAUGAAGGUCUUCGGAUCGUAAAACUCUGUUAGGAGGGAAGAACAUAUGUGUAAGUAACUGUGCACAUCUUGACGGUACCUAAUCAGAAAGCCACGGCUAACUACGUG